CGACCGCUGGCGGCAUGCCUAACACAUGCACGUCGAACGAGACCUUCGGGUCUAGUGGCGCACGGGUGCGUAACGCGUGGGAACCUGCCCUUAGGUUCGGAAUAACUCCCCGAAAGGGGUGCUAAUACCGGAUAAUGUCUUCGGACCAAAGAUUUAUCGCCUUUGGAUGGGCCCGCGUUGGAUUAGCUAGUUGGUAGGGUAAAAGCCUACCAAGGCGACGAUCCAUAGCUGGUCUGAGAGGAUGAUCAGCCACACUGGGACUGAGACACGGCCCAGACUCCUACGGGAGGCAGCAGUGGGGAAUAUUGGACAAUGGGCGAAAGCCUGAUCCAGCAAUGCCGCGUGAGUGAUGAAGGCCUUAGGGUUGUAAAGCUCUUUUACCCGGGAUGAUAAUGACAGUACCGGGAGAAUAAGCUCCGGCUAACUCCGUG
rnacentral:rRNA from 1 species